GGGCAUAUAGCUCAAUGGUUAGAGCGCUACGCUUACAUCGUAGAGGUUUCCCGUUCAAGUCGGGAUAUGCCCACAA
rnacentral:tRNA from 1 species